UACGUAGGGCGCAAGCGUUGUCCGGAAUUAUUGGGCGUAAAGAGCUCGUAGGCGGUGUGUCGCGUCGGCCGUGAAAACCUGCAGCUUAACUGUGGGCGUGCGGUCGAUACGGGCAUCACUGGAGUUCGGCAGGGGAGACUGGAAUUCCUGGUGUAGCGGUGAAAUGCGCAGAUAUCAGGAGGAACACCAGUGGCGAAGGCGAGUCCCUGGACAACACCUGACACUGAGGCACGAAAGCUAGGGGAGCAAACAGG
rnacentral:rRNA from 1 species